rnacentral:rRNA from 1 species
UACGUAGGGUGCAAGCGUUAAUCGGAAUUACUGGGCGUAAAGCGUGCGCAGGCGGUUUUGUAAGUUUGUCGUGAAAGCCCCGGGCUCAACCUGGGAAUUGCGAUGAAGACUGCAAGGCUUGAAUCUGGCAGAGGGGGGUAGAAUUCCACGUGUAGCAGUGAAAUGCGUAGAGAUGUGGAGGAACACCGAUGGCGAAGGCAGCCCCCUGGGUCAAGAUUGACGCGUCAUGCACGAAAGCGUGGGGAGCAAACAGG